UACGUAGGGGGCAAGCGUUGUCCGGAUUUAUUGGGCGUAAAGCGCUCGCAGGUGGUUCAUUGCGUCGUGCGUGAAAGACCCCGGCUCAACUGGGGAGGGUCGUGCGAAACGGGUGAACUAGAGGCCAGUAGGGGGAUGUGGAAUUCCGGGUGUAGUGGUGGAAUGCGUAGAGAUCCGGAGGAACACCAGCGGCGAAGGCGGCAUCCUGGACUGGUCCUGACACUCAGGAGCGAAAGCGUGGGGAGCGAACGAGG
rnacentral:rRNA from 1 species